rnacentral:lncRNA from 10 species
ACCAAAGAUAGAAAAAAUGAGAAAAAUAAAUGGAAAGAAUGAAGCAAAAAGAGAGCCAUGAAAGAUACAAAGAGAUGUAUUUAGAAAGUAGAAGGAUCAAGACACUGUGUGCCUCAGAAAAAAAGAAGGUAUAAUUAAGCUAAAGAUUUUGAGAUGGAAUAAUUCAGAGGAGGAGAAGAUAUGAAGCAGAAGAGAAGAAUCCCAUGUGAAGAAGGGUACAAUGAUUGAAGUUACACAGGCGCAAGUUGAAAAGGCUGAAGCCAUCAGAAUGUGGAAGAGGUAAGGAAGGAUUCUACCCUACAGCCUU